GGUCGGCUGGUGUAGUGGUUAUCACGUCUCGUUCACAAGCUGAAUCAAAUGGAGCAUUCUCCACCGAGAAGGUGCCAGGUUCGAUCCCUGGGUCGAUCA